rnacentral:lncRNA from 1 species
CUUGGAUUGUGUCAAAAAGAACCCACAGUUUCCCGAGUCGCAGACCUGCAGCCGUGUUGUUGGAGAAAUGCACACAUCGGGGCCUUCACCUCGGUUCAGGAGUCUGAAUCAGGAGUUCUUCAGAUUUUCUCCUCAGCACUGUCCCAAUCACUAAGGUAAAAGGAGAGCCCCAUGCGGGGAGCCUCGGGGUCCGGUGCUUCUCACUUUCUUGCUACUGAAUGUCUUAGCUGUGGAGUACGGACCUUUGGCCUCCAGUCAAAGAAGACUCCUUGUUCUAUCAGGAAUAUUAAUAAUGGCAAAAGAUCCACUGUGACGCAGUAUUGGGCGUGGCAUGACCUCUGUCUCAAUAACCUAACGCCAUAGCUGACCCUUGUCCUGAAGACCCCAGCCCUCUGCAAUUUCAGUCUUAUGUGUCUCUGAGUAUUUUUCAUGUUUUCUAGAA